rnacentral:rRNA from 1 species
AUUGAACGCUGGCGGCAGGCCUAACACAUGCAAGUCGAACGAGUGGCGGACGGGUGAGUAAUGUCUGGGAAACUGCCCGAUGGAGGGGGAUAACUACUGGAAACGGUAGCUAAUACCGCAUACCAUCGGAUGUGCCCAGAUGGGAUUAGCUAGUAGGUGGGGUAACGGCUCACCUAGGCGACGAUCCCUAGCUGGUCUGAGAGGAUGACCAUCCACACUGGAACUGAGACACGGGCCAGACUCCUACGGGUGGCAGCAGGGGGGAAGAUUGCACAAUGGGCGCAAGCCUGAUGCAGCCAUGCCGCGGGUAUGAAGAAGGCCUUCGGGUGGUAAAGUACUUUCAGCGGGGAGGCGUUACCCGCAGAAUAAGCACCGGCUAACUCCGUGCCAGCAGCCGCGGUAAUAC